rnacentral:misc_RNA from 1 species
GGUAAACAUAGGCCUCUCCAUCCUGAAAAUGCUUAGAGUUACAACCACAAAAGAGGAGAAGAUAUAACUCAAAAACAUAAAAACAAAAUGGCAGAAAUUGCAGUUGUAUGUUUUAUUAAUAUAUGCUAAUGACAAUGAAUAGGGGCAAAGCUUCCCUUUGGGGAAGGGGGGCAAUUGCCCCUUUACUUUUCCAAAAUAAAAAAUUAAUCAUUUUAAAAAUAUUAUAUUUAGAAAAAUUUUCCUUAAAAUUUAAUAUUCUCCCCCUAAAAUUUAAUAUUUGCCCCCUUCUCUUCCCUUCCCCUCCCCUAAAUUUGACUUAAAUGAAAAAACAAAAUAUUUUAGUUUUUGUUAUUUUUGUACUCUUAAAAACCACAACUUAAGAGUUAAAAGUUAUCUUUCAUUUGUCUUUUUGAAU